AGGAGAGGGACAGAAUCACCUCCCUCGCCCUGCUGCCCACACUGCCUUUGAUACAGCCCAGGAUACAGUUGGCUUUCUGGGCUGCAAGUACACAUUGCCUGCUCAUGCCCAGUUUUUUGCCCACGAAAAUUAGAUUUAAAAUUCCUUAACUCAAAUGUAAUUUUUAUUUUGCCUUGAAGAUUUUCUGUUUUAUUUGUCUUUCUUUUCUUAGAGGGGAGACUAAAGAUGCCUGUGGCCAAGGAGGGGAGCAGGAGUUGUGAUCUACUGGAAGAAUCUGGGUAUGAUCCUCAUACAGAGAAGAGCUAUUGCAUUGAGAUUGUGUAAUACUCACAUAACGAGAUUUUAUCAGGUCCACAUAUCCAGCAUCAUCUUCUGCUUCCCACCUCCUUCAGGUUCACCUUCAGGCACAUUCUAACACCUCUGCCUUGGCGUCUCCCUGAAGAACAUGCACCAAAGCCCUUAUUUGCCUCAGGCAUCUUGCACUCAUCAGUGAUUACAACAUUGCUGCUUCUUGACUCCACAUACGCCUCUCAACUCUACCUGCCAUGGCUUACAUACAUCAAAACAAUUUCUGGCAUUGCUCACAGAAAGCUUUCAGAGCAUCCUCUGUUGAAAUACCUCUUGGGUUAAAUCAGAGGGAUAUUUUUGAUUAACUCAUUUCCUCUUAUCCACAGGGCUGCUAUGUUAUUUCAACUAUUUAGUGUUAUGAAGCUAGUUGAUAGUUAGACUAUAUUAAUGAAUUUCAUCCUUGCUAUACAAUUGCCAGUGUUAGUACACUAUCUCCAUAAUGUAAUUUUAAAAAGUAAAUCAAUUUUAAAAAGUAAUGUAGAAAUACCCUAUGGUACUACUUCACAUCUGUCACACACUGAUCCCAAAAGAUGUGUAUUUAUAGCACCCCUCAGAGAACAGUUCCAGAAAAGCACUCAAGUCAGUAUAGCCUCUCUGAUUGACUUUGGGUUUUGGAACAAGUUCUGUUCUAGAUGUUCUAAAUGCUUCAGUGAUAGAAAGGUAGAGCUGGGGGGCGGACACGGCACACACAUGACACCAAACAAACAAAACCCAAAAAGAGUUGUAAAUGUACUGCUCAAAAUGUUUCACUACAGUGGUGAGAAAAUGUCCUGUCAAACAAUAAUGAAUUAUGUGACCAACCUGUUCCAUAGCAAAACUUGCAACCAUGUACAUGAACGUGAAGCAUUCUGAUUGCUUGAUUUCACUGUUGUGAAACCUUUUUCUUUGAACUUACAUCAAAAGAUGACAUUUGACUCAUAUCUGUCCUGAGUAAAGCUCUUAACUUGUUGUGUAAAGAAGGAAAUAUUUUGGAAGCAAUCAAAUAGCAACAAAGCAGAUAGAUAUAUAAAUAUUUAGAUAGCCUACAUAGCAGAAGUAAAGAAAUGUGUAUUUCUAGUGGAACUGAAAGACUUUCAAGGAAUUUCAUACAAAGUAGGACAAAAUAUUCCAAAACAUUUAAUUUGAACUUUAUAAUACUACUUUGUUGAGAUAUGUUAUGAUGCCUUAUAUGUUUCUUAUACAAUUACCUGCAAUAUCUCAGAAAAGCAAGAUGAAAUAAUACAGUAAAGUAAAACAAACAAAAAACUAAAUAAAAAAUUUCAUUCUUUCCCACAGAAAUGCUGGAAAAAGAAGUAAUUUCUACAAAAAGCUUUGAUUUUGUGGAAUCAUGAUUUUUCUAUAAAACUUUGACUAGCUUUAGU